AUUGAACGCUGGCGGCAUGCCUCACACAUGCAAGUCGAACGGCAGCACGGGAGCAAUCCUGGUGGCGAGUGGCGAACGGGUGAGUAAAGUAUCGGAACGUGCCCAGUCGUGGGGGAUAACGUAGCGAAAGUUACGCUAAUACCGCAUACGAUCUAUGGAUGAAAGCGGGGGAUCGCAAGACCCUGCGCGAUUGGAGCGGCCGAUAUCAGAUUAGGUAGUUGGUGGGGUAAAGGCUCACCAAGCCGACGAUCUGUAGCUGGUCUGAGAGGACGACCAGCCACACUGGGACUGAGACACGGCCCAGACUCCUACGGGAGGCAGCAGUGGGGAAUUUUGGACAAUGGGCGAAAGCCUGAUCCAGCCAUGCCGCGUGCAGGAUGAAGGCCUUCGGGUUGUAAACUGCUUUUGUACGGAACGAAAAGGUUUGGGCUAAUAAGCUGAGCUCAUGACGGUACCGUAAGAAUAAGCACCGGCUAACUACGUGCCAGCCGCCGCGGUAA
rnacentral:rRNA from 1 species